CCUACGGGAGGCAGCAGUGAGGAAUAUUGGUCAAUGGGCGGGAGCCUGAACCAGCCAAGCCGCGUGAGGGAAGAAGGUACAGCGUAUCGUAAACCUCUUUUGUCAGGGAACAAAGGCGGGGACUAGUCCCCGGAUGAGGGUACCUGAAGAAAAAGCAUCGGCUAACUCCGUGCCAGCAGCGGCGGUAAUACGGAGGAUGCGAGCGUUAUCCGGAUUUAUGGGGUUUAACGGGUGCGCAGGCGGCCUGUUAAGUCAGCGGGAAAACCCCGGGGCCAAACCCCGGCGAGCCGUUGAAACUGGGGGGCUGGAGUUGGAGAGAGGUACGCGGAAUGCGCGGUGUAGCGGUGAAAUGCUUAGAUAUCGCGCAGAACCCCGAUUGCGAAGGCAGCGUACCGGCUCCACACUGACGCUGAGGCACGAAAGCGUGGGUAUCGAACAGGAUUAGAUACCCGUGUAGUC
rnacentral:rRNA from 1 species